rnacentral:lncRNA from 1 species
UGCUAUCAAUAUUUUCUGAAACCUUCUAGAGUCUCCUUAGUCUGGUUGUCUUGGUCUCCGUCGCUCCCUUUCUUGAUGAGUAUGGCUUGGAUUUGUCCCCAAUAGGUAAUGUCCUUCUCCUUUUCUUAGCGCUUCUUUAGCAAGAAAAUGAGCAUACUUGUUCUCUGCUUUAGGAAAGAAAUGGAACCUGAUUUCCUGAAAAAAGGCUUUUUUGCUCUUGAUGUCUCUGAUGAUUGUCCCUGUAAUCGAUUUAUCAUGGUUUGUGGUUUGACAUUUCUUUAUCACUGUUCUUGAGUCUCCUAUUAUUUCCAGAAUAUUUAGACCCAUUGUAAUCCUAAUUGAAUCGCCUGUAAUUUUGCAUGCACCUCCGCCGCAAUGGGGACAGUAUGUCAAAGUGAAUAACUGACUUAGAAACCAUGAUGUCCCCUCCCGUAUCGCAAACAACCAGACUCGAAGCAGAUUUGGAGGAUCUUUUGUCAAAAGCCACGUCAAAGUAGACUGUCGCCCUCAUACUUCUUUCAAUCUGUUUGUGGCCUUUAUCAAUGUUAAGAGUAAGUUUUUUUUUUCAUGCGCUCUGUUUAACUCUGCUAUAAAACUAAUAACUUGUUUCCAAAUGUCCCUGCUUGUUGUAAUCUUCCUUUUGUGGAUGAACCUAUUUUUAUGAGUCUAGGUUGACCAUAACCCACAGAAAAAUAGGCGACACUGCUCUUUGUUUCCUUGACUGAAAACCUAGGUAAGCCACUCUCACAGGCUUUGAGUGUCAUUAUUACAUACCCAUGAGAAAUUUAAAUUUGUCCAUACUUCUGUUGUUGUAGGACAAUGCCGAAAAAUGUGAUUGCUAUCUUCAUCGGAGUUGUGAAAACGGGGACAAAGAUUUUCCAAUACAACUUUUUUGUUCUUUAGAUUAGAUAGAGUAGGAAUAUAAUUCCAUGAUAUUCUCCAAAUUGUAAUUUUAAUCUUUGGGGGAAGCUGUAAAUUCCAUAAUUUUCUGUAGAAGUUUCUAAUCUCGGCCUGUAUAAAAUUAUUUUUAGGACCCGAAUUAGUCUUUUAUAAUAGUUUAUAGGCAUUUCUGACUGAAAAUUCUCCUGAUGGUUCUCCUCUCUAUACUUGGAAGUCAUCGUAGAUUGUCUCUGGCAAGAGGAUUUGCAGAAUUUUCUUAGCAAUAUUCUCAUUGAAUGUACUAAAAAUCAAAUAUGUAUUUCACGUUCUAUUAUUAGCAUUUAUCAAGUCUGAUACUAACUU